ensembl:lncRNA NOVA1-DT NOVA1 divergent transcript
AUUCAUGGCACUGCUCCUCUCCAUCCAUAGGAUUAUCUUAUGCCCUGUGGCAUUUAUCAUUUUGGACCCUAUCUCUCUCCUAUCUAUAUUGGACUAUGGUGGCACACAGAGUGUUGUAGAGAUGAGGGUCUCAUCCUUUUGCCCAGGCUGGAGUACAGUGGUGUGUAUGUAGCACACUGCAGCCUUCAACUCCUGAUCCUCCAACCUCAGCCUCCACAGUUGCUGGGAUUACAAGUUCAAGUUGGUGUGUAUCUGCAAAGGCGAUGGAAAGGAGUUCUUACAUAUGCAUAUUCUGAAGAAGGAUGUUACCCUUACUGAAAAACUUAUUCCAAGAUAUGUUUAAUCAAUCAUGAGAAAAAUAAAGAGACAUCCUUAUGAAUGGAGAAUAAAGUCCUCAGGGUUUUUUUCUAAUUCCCCAUGUGAAUGAAGAGCUGUGUUAUUCUAAAUAUAGUGUUUGUCAUAAGGCAA